rnacentral:rRNA from 1 species
CCUACGGGAGGCAGCAGUGAGGAAUAUUGGUCAAUGGGCGAGAGCCUGACCCAGCCAAGUCGCGUGAGGGAGUACUGCCCUAUGGGUGGUAAACCUCUUGUGUCGGGGAGCGAAAGCCGGACGUGUCCGGCUGUGAGAGUACCCUAAGAACAAGCAUCGGCUAACUCCGUGCCAGCAGCCGCGGUAAUACGCAGGAUGCGAGGGUUAUCAGGUUUGAUUGGGUUAAAAGGGUGCUCAGGCGGAUUUUUAAGUCAGCGGUAAAAUCGUGGGGCUCAACCCCAUCCAGCCGUUGAAACUGGGGAUCUAGAGUGUGCGAGAGGUAUGCGGAAUGCGUGGUGUAGCGGUGAAAUGCAUAGAUAUCACGCAGAACCCCGAUUGCGAAGGCAGCAUACCGGUGCACAACUGACGCUCAGGCACGAAAGCGUGGGUAUCGAACAGGAUUAGAUACCCCUGUAGUC